rnacentral:rRNA from 1 species
AAAUUGAAGAGUUUGAUCAUGGCUCAGAUUGAACGCUGGCGGCAGGCCUAACACAUGCAAGUCGAGCGGUAGCACAGAGAGCUUGCUCUCGGGUGACGAGCGGCGGACGGGUGAGUAAUGUCUGGGAAACUGCCUGAUGGAGGGGGAUAACUACUGGAAACGGUAGCUAAUACCGCAUAACGUCGCAAGACCAAAGUGGGGGACCUUCGGGCCUCAUGCCAUCAGAUGUGCCCAGAUGGGAUUAGCUAGUAGGUGGGGUAACGGCUCACCUAGGCGACGAUCCCUAGCUGGUCUGAGAGGAUGACCAGCCACACUGGAACUGAGACACGGUCCAGACUCCUACGGGAGGCAGCAGUGGGGAAUAUUGCACAAUGGGCGCAAGCCUGAUGCAGCCAUGCCGCGUGUGUGAAGAAGGCCUUCGGGUUGUAAAGCACUUUCAGCGGGGAGGAAGGCGAUAAGGUUAAUAACCUUGUCGAUUGACGUUACCCGCAGAAGAAGCACCGGCUAACUCCGUGCCAGCAGCCGCGGUAAUACGGAGGGUGCAAGCGUUAAUCGGAAUUACUGGGCGUAAAGCGCACGCAGGCGGUCUGUCAAGUCGGAUGUGAAAUCCCCGGGCUCAACCUGGGAACUGCAUUCGAAACUGGCAGGCUAGAGUCUUGUAGAGGGGGGUAGAAUUCCAGGUGUAGCGGUGAAAUGCGUAGAGAUCUGGAGGAAUACCGGUGGCGAAGGCGGCCCCCUGGACAAAGACUGACGCUCAGGUGCGAAAGCGUGGGGAGCAAACAGGAUUAGAUACCCUGGUAGUCCACGCUGUAAACGAUGUCGAUUUGGAGGUUGUGCCCUUGAGGCGUGGCUUCCGGAGCUAACGCGUUAAAUCGACCGCCUGGGGAGUACGGCCGCAAGGUUAAAACUCAAAUGAAUUGACGGGGGCCCGCACAAGCGGUGGAGCAUGUGGUUUAAUUCGAUGCAACGCGAAGAACCUUACCUGGUCUUGACAUCCACAGAACUUUCCAGAGAUGGAUUGGUGCCUUCGGGAACUGUGAGACAGGUGCUGCAUGGCUGUCGUCAGCUCGUGUUGUGAAAUGUUGGGUUAAGUCCCGCAACGAGCGCAACCCUUAUCCUUUGUUGCCAGCGGUUCGGCCGGGAACUCAAAGGAGACUGCCAGUGAUAAACUGGAGGAAGGUGGGGAUGACGUCAAGUCAUCAUGGCCCUUACGACCAGGGCUACACACGUGCUACAAUGGCAUAUACAAAGAGAAGCGACCUCGCGAGAGCAAGCGGACCUCAUAAAGUAUGUCGUAGUCCGGAUUGGAGUCUGCAACUCGACUCCAUGAAGUCGGAAUCGCUAGUAAUCGUAGAUCAGAAUGCUACGGUGAAUACGUUCCCGGGCCUUGUACACACCGCCCGUCACACCAUGGGAGUGGGUUGCAAAAGAAGUAGGUAGCUUAACCUUCGGGAGGGCGCUUACCACUUUGUGAUUCAUGACUGGGGUGAAGUCGUAACAAGGUAACCGUAGGGGAACCUGCGGUUGGAUCACCUCCUUA